rnacentral:rRNA from 1 species
GCGCCCCGCAAGGGGAGCGGCAGACGGGUGAGUAACGCGUGGGAAUCUACCCUUUUCUACGGAACAACUGAGGGAAACUUCAGCUAAUACCGUAUACGGCCGAGAGGCGAAAGAUUUAUCGGAGAAGGAUGAGCCCGCGUUGGAUUAGCUAGUUGGUGGGGUAAAGGCCUACCAAGGCGACGAUCCAUAGCUGGUCUGAGAGGAUGAUCAGCCACACUGGGACUGAGACACGGCCCAGACUCCUACGGGAGGCAGCAGUGGGGAAUAUUGGACAAUGGGCGCAAGCCUGAUCCAGCCAUGCCGCGUGAGUGAUGAAGGUCUUAGGAUUGUAAAGCUCUUUCACCGGUGAAGAUAAUGA